GAUGAACGCUGGCGGCGUGCCUAAUACAUGCAAGUCGAGCGAACGGACGAGAAGCUUGCUUCUCUGAUGUUAGCGGCGGACGGGUGAGUAGCACGUGGAUAACCUACCUAUAAGACUGGGAUAACUUCGGAAAACCGGAGCUAAUACCGGAUAAUAUUUUGAACCGCAUGGUUCAAAAGUGAAAGACGGUCUUGCUGUCACUUAUAGAUGGAUCCGCGCUGCAUUAGCUGGUUGGUAAGGUAACGGCUUACCAAGGCAACGAUGCAUAGCCGACCUGAGAGGGUGAUCGGCCACACUGGAACUGAGACACGGUCCAGACUCCUACGGGAGGCAGCAGUAGGGAAUCUUCCGCAAUGGGCGAAAGCCUGACGGAGCAACGCCGCGUGAGUGAUGAAGGUCUUCGGAUCGUAAAACUCUGUUAUUAGGGAAGAACAUAUGUGUAAGUAACUGUGCACAUCUUGACGGUACCUAAUCAGAAAGCCACGGCUAACUACGUG
rnacentral:rRNA from 1 species